rnacentral:rRNA from 1 species
CUCCCGCCGGCGACCGGCGCACGGGUGAGUAACACGUAUGAAACCUGCCCGUAGCAGGGGGAUAAGCGGAAGAAAUUCCGUCUAAUACCGCGUAACAACCCGAGGAGGCAUCUCCUCGGGUUUAAAGGAAGCGAUUCCGGCUACGGAUGGUCAUGCGUCGCAUUAGCUAGUUGGCGGGGUAACGGCCCACCAAGGCGACGAUGCGUAGGGGUUCUGAGAGGAAGGUCCCCCACGCUGGUACUGAGACACGGACCAGACUCCUACGGGAGGCAGCAG